rnacentral:rRNA from 1 species
CAAGUCGAGGGGUAAAUAUUGUAGCAAUACGAUAUGAGACCGGCGCACGGGUGCGUAACACGUAUGCAACCUACCUUUUACUGGGGUAUAGCUCCGAGAAAUCGGAAUUAAUCCCCCAUAACACUGCGAUGAGGCAUCUCGAUGCAGUUAAAGCUCCGGCGGUAAAAGAUGGGCAUGCGGUACAUUAGCUAGUUGGUGAGGUAAUGGCUCACCAAGGCUACGAUGUAUAGGGGGUCUGAGAGGAUGAUCCCCCACACUGGUACUGAGACACGGACCAGACUCCUACGGGAGGCAGCAGUAGGGAAUAUUGGUCAAUGGACGCAAGUCUGAACCAGCCAUGCCGCGUGCAGGAUGACAGCCCUAUGGGUCGUAAACUGCUUUUAUAAGGGAAGAAACCCCUGGAUGCGUCCGGGGCUGACGGUACUUUAUGAAUAAGGAUCGGCUAACUUCGUGCCAGCAGCCGCGGUAAGACGAAGGAUCCAAGCGUUGUCCGGAUUUACUGGGUUUAAAGGGUGCGUAGGCGGAGUGCUAAGUCAGUGGUGAAAGCCCGCAGCUCAACUGCGGAACUGCCAUUGAAACUGGCACUCUUGAAUACGGUGGAGGUAGAUGGAAUAUAACAUGUAGCGGUGAAAUGCUUAGAUAUGUUAUAGAACACCGAUUGCGAAGGCAGUCUGCUACACCGUGAUUGACGCUGAGGCACGAAAGCGUGGGGAGCAAACAGGAUUAGAUACCCUGGUAGUCCACGCCCUAAACGUUGAUUACUCGCUGUUGGCGAUACACUGUCAGCGGCUAAGCGAAAGCGUUAAGUAAUCCACCUGGGAAGUACGUCCGCAAGGAUGAAACUCAAAGGAAUUGACGGG